rnacentral:tRNA from 1 species
GCCCGGGUGGCUCGGUCAGUUAGGCGUCUGACUUCGGCUCAGGUCACGAUCUCACGGUCCGCGGGUUCGAGUCCUGCGUCGGGCU